rnacentral:rRNA from 1 species
AGCAGCCGCGGUAAUUCCAGCUCCAAUAGCGUAUAUUAAAGUUGUUGCAGUUAAAAAGCUCGUAGUUGAACUUCGGGGUUCACCCAUUGGUCAGGCUUAAUUGUCUGUACUGGUGAGAUGAAUCUCUACCUUCUGAGGAACUUUCAUAUCAUUAAUUUGAUGUGAUUGGAAAUCAGGACUGUUACUUUGAAAAAUUGAGUGUUUAAAGCAGGCUAACGUCUGAAUACAUUAGCAUGGAAUAAUGAAAUAGGACGGACUGAUUCUAUUUCGUUGGUUUCUAGGAUCACCGUAAUGAUUAAUAGGGAUAGUUGGGGGCAUUAGUAUUCAAUUGUCAGAGGUGAAAUUCUUGGAUUUAUUGAAGACUAACUACUGCGAAAGCAUUUGCCAAGGAUGUUUUCAUUAAUCAAGAACGAAAGUUAGGGGAUCGAAGACGAUCAGAUACCGUCGUAGUCUUAACCAUAAACUAUGCCGACUAGGGAUCGGAACGAAGUUAAUUUAUAAUGACGUCGUUCGGUACCG